rnacentral:rRNA from 1 species
GAUGAACGCUAGCGGCAGGCCUAACACAUGCAAGUCGAGGGGCAGCACAGAAACAGCAAUGUUUUGGUGGCGACCGGCGGACGGGUGCGUAACGCGUAUGCAACCUACCUUUAACAGGGGGAUAACGGAGAGAAAUUUCCACUAAUACCCCAUAACAUCGAUCAAGGCAUCUUGAUUGGUUGAAAACUCCGGUGGUUAAAGAUGGGCAUGCGUUGUAUUAGGUAGUUGGUGAGGUAAUGGCUCACCAAGCCUACGAUACAUAGGGGGACUGAGAGGUUGGCCCCCCACACUGGUACUGAGACACGGACCAGACUCCUACGGGAGGCAGCAGUGAGUAAUAUUGGUCAAUGGAGGCAACCCUGAACCAGCCAUGCCGCGUGCAGGAAGACGGCGCUAUGAGUUGUAAACUGCUUUUAAACAGGGAUAAAGCACAGUAUGUAUACUGUGUUGAAGGUACUGUAAGAAUAAGGAUCGGCUAACUCCGUGCCAGCCGCCGCGGUAA